ensembl:lncRNA
AUGAGUGUCUUUUAGGGACAUCUUGUGUGGUACACUUCAAACUUCAUUUGAAAUAGGAGUGAUAAGAUGCUCAUUCUGCUUGAUGAGGUUGUACUGCAGGAGGUGGAGGGUUGGGAUAUGUUAAGUCUCAAGGCUCGGCUCGCUAAGGCUUUUGUGCUUGAUAGAAAAACGGAAAACACAUGCUGGGGCCGUCCUAUUCUCCUUGCUUUCAUUUAAGUAGGCUAUUGCUCACACACGAAAAGACACACACUCUACACACACAAAAGAGAUAGACAGAUACACACACACACACACACACACACACACACACACAGACACACACACACACACACACACACACACACACACAUCUCCUCUGGUGUCAUACAGUGACUCACUUCAAUGACAGACAGUGCAGACACUCUUUAUCUCACCAGGGGCAUUCUGGGACAGAGCAGAGGAGGCCCUUGAUGGCACUCCGGGGUGGAUCCAGGGGGCGGUGGAGCAGGUGGCAGGUCAUGACCUCCUUGGCCCAAACGCUGUCAUUUACUACGGGCCAGCUUCUCAAGGUCACUCCAGUCAUUUACUAUGGACCAGCUUCUCAAGGUCAUUUACUACGGGCCAGCUUCUCAAGGUCACUCCAUAAAUGCAACCCGUGGCCUGUGACACUUAUAGUUUCUAUACGGAUAGCUUUUUUUACUCCUGCCGAGAAGAUCAGCCUAGCCCUUUGCAGUACACACUAACCAGAAUGGCCUCCAGAAGAUCAGCCUGGCCCUUUGCAGUACACACUAACCAGAAUGGCCUCCAGCUACUGAAUUCCCUUUUUUUUUAAAGCACACAAGUAUUGGGCAACUCCAACCAUUCCCCAGAUUUCACAUUCGUUUUAGUGUUAAAGCUUUAUGAAGUACAGACCUCUAGCUGCAUUGCCAAUAGCAUAAUUAGAUAAAAGAAAAACGUUAAAUAGCAAAACAAUGCUGUUGUUUUAAAUGAUUCUCUGAUUUCAUUCUUUUUACUUUAUGUUAUUUUUUUUAUACUUAAUUUCUGAGUUGUUUAAUGUGUUUUGUUUAUUCAUUUCGUCUGUUUUGUUUUGUUAUGGUUUGUUUAUUUAUUGUUGUAUGUAUUAUGUAGCCUCAAUCAGGGCGUUGCUGCAAAAGAGCCCUGUGCUCAGUCAAUUCUCCCUGAAUAAACAAUGAUGAUGAUGAUGAUGUAGAGUUCCCACACAGACCUGAACUAGAGUUACAGCCUCUUGGCACAAGGACAAGGUGUCUCUUUCUCAAAAUGCCCAAAAACACCUUAAAAUUAAAGCAAAGAAAACAAGCAACAAAAAGCGAAACACACAGUGACUCAACCGUGGGCAACAUGAUCUACGUUAACUGGGCACUGUGCUCCCUCAGCCAGGAAGAGACAUCCGCCUUCUCAUUCCUGUCCACGUUUAGUUGCAAGCACACUCAACAUGCCCCCUGGCUCCAAAGACAACGUCUCGCUACAAAAAACUGGGCACCAAAUCAGGCGAUGGUUCAACGCUCGCGGCACCGAUACAAUGCAGCUACUGGAGUCAUGUUCAUUCAUUAUCGCAAGUCUUCAGCCUCUGAUAUGUUAAUGUUUUAACCAGCAUUAAUCAACACGACCUCCCCUACAAUACAACAUUACACACCUCAUUACUUGCUCAUUGCCCAGAGGUGCAUAAUGUGUUCUUUCGUGAGAUAAAUAACUGUUUAAUUUGUGGAAAGCCUUUGAUCGAGAUUCAUUUGGACUCUGCGAUGAAUUUUUGUGUGUUUUAAUGCCCAUUAGCGAAUGGGUCUACUAGCUAAGGGUAAACAAGAGCUUAACAAACGAAAUGAACAGUGCAGAAGGCUAUGUGUGUUUGGGCAUUCGUGUGUGAGUGUGUGUGUACGAGAGUGAGAAAAAGCUUACCAGAGGUAGAAACUGAGAGAGUGAGAGAGAGAAAUAGAGAGAGAGAGAGAUAGGGAGAGCGAGAGAACUGUUUUACAAGAGAACACGUUCUUAACUGACAAAGAAUUUGCAUUGAUGGUGAAUGCUCAGUUCUCAUGCAAGUCACUCAGCUUGUCCACAACAAUCAUUCCAAAUACCCAACACUGAAACCUCAGUAAAACACAACAGAUACACUUCCAUGCAUACACACACACACACACACAUACACACACACACACACACACACACACACACACACAUACACACACACACACACACACACACAGAGAGAGAGAGAGACACACACACACAUACAUACAUACACACAUACAUACAAUUUAAAACUGGCUACAAUUGGGGGUAAGAUAUGAGUCUACAAAUGACUGUUGAAGUUUGCUUAAAAAACAGGGAAAUAACAGCCUAACAGUUUAGAUGCCUAAAAUGAAGGCUGGUUCCUGGAUAAAAAUAGAUCAGAAGUGUGAUGAAGUCAGAAAAACCAUGGCUACAACCUUGUCGCUACUAUGACAUCAGAGUGUUCUAAAACAUGCCAUGCAACCUCAAAAUAUGACCUUACAUUUCCACAGCAGCCACUCAAACUCUCCUGCACUUCAGCCCCUGUCACACUCUGUACCCAGGGAGGUUAGACACUCAAACUGGGUCACGUUGACUAUGAUUCAUCCAACAUUGAGGGGACAGAGAGGGAAAAAACAGAGUUUUAAAAAAAAUAAUAUGUGCACUCUAUGUUAAUGGCCAUGAAAUGUUCAAAUUGGUAUCGACAGGCUGCAGCUCAACCCCCCCUGGGGCUUCAUUGGGUUGGUAUUCACAGGUAGGAACACAGCCACCAUAAUUGCCUGGCUUUGGGGGAAACCAAAACAGUGUGAGGGCAUUUGUCAAUCCUGACAUGGGUGUCUAAUUUGCCUGGCGAAAAAAAAAAGAAGAGGAAAGCUAAAUGUGGCUGAGCACAGUUUUAGGGUGUGAGGAGAGGUAGAGCUCUGUGAGAGGGGUGCAGCGAGGGAGAACCAGGAAGCCUGCAGGAACGGUUUGCCCUCUGGCCACAUCUCUUCUCUGGGUAGGGAUGGGGGCCGUGAGAGUUAGACACUGCUCCACUAGAAGAGCCCUGGCAUCCCUUGAAGCAGUGGAACUUAAUGAAUUCUUGACUGGAAAAGUAAAUGGAUUCGCUGUUUACUUUCUUUUUUUCUUUUUUUUCUUUUUUUACUUUCUUUUUUUUUUCAUGCCGUGAAAAAUGUCUCCAAUUCUCGCAAAAUAUUUCACCCCCAAAAACCUUGGCCUAGAACACACAAGACUUAAUAACCUGAGAAUCUAUUAACCGUCCUCCAAAUAUGUGGCGGCUAAUCCCUAUCUCCCCCUGCCAGAGAGCUGAACUGAGCUGCUGGUAAACAGAAAAAAGGCCUUCCUUAGUCUUUCUUGCACGUCAUGAAAUACUGCGCAGAGACCCAGCGGUCAUAAAAUAAGAUUAUUUACUGCUGAUAUCUCACAGGCUGCAAUAAUCUAACCCUGCAAGGAAAGAUCAUAGCCUGUCUGGGUCCACAAAGGCAAGCUUUUAACCAGAUAUCAUUCCUAAAGAGAGUGUCAGAACCAUACCACCACCAUCCCGUCGCACUCCACACACAAAGGCAGCAAAUACAAUCAUCUCUACAUUUACAUUUCUUUGAAUUUGUGCCUUACAGUGCAGGAAAGGUUGUACGUUCUAUCUAUUCCCCUGGGAGUUCAACUCAAGCCGUGGUGUGAUAAGCACCGUUUAGAGUCAGAGUUUGAGUUACAUAAACUAUCCCUAACUAUCUCCCUUCACACACACAUGCAUUCGCAUACACAAAUACGUCAAGUUUAUUUAAUUUGCUAGGUACGUAUUUGUACAUCAAAUCUGACCAUCACAGAAGAACAAACAUUUAUGCAGCUGAUUGCCUUAAUGAUGGACAGGCAUCAGAUCUCCAUUAGCCAGCCUUCCAUACAGCACAAAGCAAUAAACAGUAAAGAGAGAGAGAGAGAGAGAGAGAGAGAGAGAGAGAAGAUGGGGAAAACUGCUUACGCCAUGACUAAUAAGGGCAAUAGAAUGGACAAUGUACACUAAUAAAACUGCUGAAGCCAUUCUUUUCACAUUCUCGCUGCACUGAAUAGUAAGUGCAGAGCUGACGUGGUGGUGUUACAUAAGUGUGUGUGCAGGUCAGUUAAUCGCACGGGAAACAAUGUCACGUUUGAAGCCAAAACAAGGCAAACAAGGCAGCUGAGGUCCGGGUGAGACUUACCUUUCCUGGGGUCAACACUCCACUGUCCACUGGGACCCUACAGAUGAUGGGGGAGAGAGAUGGGGUGGGGAGGUGGAGGAGAAAAGAGAAGUUAGAGAGACAGGUGGGGGGAGAGGGGAAGAGAUGAAGAGACAGGAAGAGAUGGAGAGUGAAGGGGAGACGAGAGAAAAGAGAGAGAGAGAGGGAUGAAGGAGAAAACAAAGGGAGAAAGGGAUGGAGAGAGAGGUGGGGGGAGAG